rnacentral:rRNA from 1 species
GGGGCACAAUAGCGGCAGCCUACACAUGCAGUCGAACGCAUCUUCGGAUGAGUGGCAGACGGGUGAGGAACACGUGGGAACCUUUUCAGUGGUACGGAAUAACUCAGGGAAACCUGGGCUAAUGCCGUAUACGCCCUACGGGGGAAAGAUUUAUCGCCAUUGGAUGAGCCCGCGUCUGAUUAGCUUGUUGGUGAGGUAAUGGCUCACCAAGGCGACGAUCAGUAGCUGGUCUGAGAGGAUGAUCAGCCACACUGGGACAGAGACACGGCCCAGACCCCUACGGGAGGCAGCAGUGGGGAAUAUUGCACAAUGGGCGCAAGCCUGAUGCAGCCAUGCCGCGUGGGUGAAGAAGGCCCUAGGGUUGUAAAUCCCUUUCAGCGGGGAAGAUAAUGACGGUACCCGCAGAAGAAGCCCCGGCUAACUCCGUGCCAGCAGCCGCGGUAAUACGGAGGGGGCUAGCGUUGUUCGGAAUCACUGGGCGUAAAGCGCGCGUAGGCGGAUCGGUUAGUUGGGGGUGAAAUCCCGAGGCUCAACCUCGGAACUGCCCUCAAUACUGUCGAUCUCGAGUCCGGGAGAGGUGAGUGGAAUUCCUAGCGUAGAGGUGAAAUUCGUAGAUAUUAAGAAGAACACCAGUGGCGAAAGGGGCUCACUGGCCCGGUACUGACGCUGAGGUGCGAAAGCGUGGGGAGCAAACAGGAUAGAUACCCUGGUAGUCCACGCCGUAAACGAUGGAAGCUAGCCGUCGGCCGGCAUGCCGUUCGGGGGCGCAGUUAAGCCUUUAACUUUCCCGCCUGGGGAGUACGGGCCCAAGAUUAAACCUAAA